GAUGAACGCUAGCUACAGGCUUAACACAUGCAAGUCGAGGGGCAGCAUGACGGAAGCUUGCUUCCGUUGAUGGCGACCGGCGCACGGGUGAGUAACGCGUAUCCAACCUGCCCUUGUCCAUCGGAUAACCAGUCGAAAGGCGGACUAACACGAUAUGCAGUUCACAGCAGGCAUCUAGCGCGAACGCAAUGUGAAGGCGAAGGAUGGGGAUGCGUCUGAUUAGCUUGUUGGCGGGGUAACGGCCCACCAAGGCGACGAUCAGUAGGGGUUCUGAGAGGAAGGUCCCCCACAUUGGAACUGAGACACGGUCCAAACUCCUACGGGAGGCAGCAGUGAGGAAUAUUGGUCAAUGGGCGAGAGCCUGAACCAGCCAAGUAGCGUGCAGGAAGACGGCCCUAUGGGUUGUAAACUGCUUUUAUACGGGGAUAAAGUGAGCCACGUGUGGCUUAUUGCAGGUACCGUAUGAAUAAGGACCGGCUAAUUCCGUGCCAGCAGCCGCGGUAAAAC
rnacentral:rRNA from 1 species